GACGAACGCUGGCGGCGUGCUUAACACAUGCAAGUCGAACGGAAAGGCCCUGCUUUUGUGGGGUGCUCGAGUGGCGAACGGGUGAGUAACACGUGAGUAACCUGCCCUUGACUUUGGGAUAACUUCAGGAAACUGGGGCUAAUACCGGAUAGGAGCUCCUGCUGCAUGGUGGGGGUUGGAAAGUUUCGGCGGUUGGGGAUGGACUCGCGGCUUAUCAGCUUGUUGGUGGGGUAGUGGCUUACCAAGGCUUUGACGGGUAGCCGGCCUGAGAGGGUGACCGGCCACAUUGGGACUGAGAUACGGCCCAGACUCCUACGGGAGGCAGCAGUGGGGAAUAUAGCACAAUGGGCGGAAGCCUGAUGCAGCAACGCCGCGUGCGGGAUGGCGGCCUUCGGGUUGUAAACCGCUUUCGCCUGUGACGAAGCGUGAGUGACGGUAAUGGGUAAAGAAGCACCGGCUAACUACGUG
rnacentral:rRNA from 1 species